rnacentral:rRNA from 1 species
GGACUACAAGGGUAUCUAAUCCCGUUCGCUCCCCAUGCUUUCGUGGCUGAGCGUCAGGUACGAGCCAGGGGGCCGCCUUCGCCUCUGGGGUUCCUCCGGAUCUCUACGCAUUUCACCACUACACCCGGAAUUCCACCCCCCUCUCUCGUCCUCUAGAAGAGCAGUCUGGCAUAACCCCUCCAGGUUAAGCCUGGAGAUUUCAUACACCACUUGCUCCCCCGCCUGCACACCCUUUACGCCCAGUAAUUCCGGAUAACGCUUGCCACCUACGUUUUACCGCGGCGGCUGGCAC